rnacentral:rRNA from 1 species
GACGAACGCUGGCGGCGUGCUUAACACAUGCAAGUCGAACGGAAAGGCCCUGCUUUUGUGGGGUGCUCGAGUGGCGAACGGGUGAGUAACACGUGAGUAACCUGCCCUUGACUUUGGGAUAACUUCAGGAAACUGGGGCUAAUACCGGAUAGGAGCUCCUGCUGCAUGGUGGGGGUUGGAAAGUUUCGGCGGUUGGGGAUGGACUCGCGGCUUAUCAGCUUGUUGGUGGGGUAGUGGCUUACCAAGGCUUUGACGGGUAGCCGGCCUGAGAGGGUGACCGGACACAUUGGGACUGAGAUACGGCCCAGACUACAACGGGAGGCAGCAGUGGGGAAUAUUGCACAAUGGGCGGAAGCCUGAUGCAGCAAAGCCGCGUGCGGGAUGACGGCCUUCGGGUUGUAAACCGCUUUCGCCUGUGACGAAGCGUGAGUGACGGUAAUGGGUAAAGAAGCACCGGCUAACUACGUG